rnacentral:lncRNA from 1 species
AAGGUUUACAAUAAAAAUGUAUACGCAAAAUAUAUACCUAUUCUCGCGACAUUCUAGCACCUAAGGUAUUUCCAAAAUUGCCUCUGUAUACACCACCGAAAGCAGCUUCCAACAACAGCUAAGAUAAUGAUUGUACGUUCUUCUAUUAUCUUUAUUCUAGUCACAACUCGUACAAGACAACCCUAUUCCAGCUGUAUGACAAACAUGUCAUUUUAAUCCAAAUCCUCGCUAUAUCCACAAUUUCU